rnacentral:rRNA from 1 species
AUAAGGGAGCUUGACUGCGAGACCUACAAGUCGAGCAGGGUCGAAAGACGGACUUAGUGAUCCGGUGGUUCCGCAUGGAAGGGCCAUCGCUCAACGGAUAAAAGCUACCCCGGGGAUAACAGGCUUAUCUCCCCCAAGAGUUCACAUCGACGGGGAGGUUUGGCACCUCGAUGUCGGCUCAUCGCAUCCUGGGGCUGUAGUCGGUCCCAAGGGUUGGGCUGUUCGCCCAUUAAAGCGGUACGCGAGCUGGGUUCAGAACGUCGUGAGACAGUUCGGUCCCUAUCCGUCGUGGGCGUAGGAAAUUUGAGAGGAGCUGUCCUUAGUACGAGAGGACCGGGAUGGACAUACCUCUGGUGUACCAGUUGUCGUGCCAACGGCAUAGCUGGGUAGCUAUGUGUGGACGGGAUAAGUGCUGAAAGCAUCUAAGCAUGAAGCCCCCCUCAAGAUGAGAUUUCCCAACUUCGGUUAUAAGAUCCCUCAAAGAUGAUGAGGUUAAUAGGUUCGAGGUGGAAGCAUGGUGACAUGUGGAGCUGACGAAUACUAAUCGAUCGAAGACUUAAUCAA